AGAGUUUGAUCAUGGCUCAGAUUGAACGCUGGCGGCAUGCCUUACACAUGCAAGUCGAACGGCAGCAUGAUCUAGCUUGCUAGAUUGAUGGCGAGUGGCGAACGGGUGAGUAAUACAUCGGAACGUGCCCUGUAGUGGGGGAUAACUAGUCGAAAGAUUAGCUAAUACCGCAUACGACCUGAGGGUGAAAGUGGGGGACCGCAAGGCCUCAUGCUAUAGGAGCGGCCGAUGUCUGAUUAGCUAGUUGGUGAGGUAAAGGCUCACCAAGGCGACGAUCAGUAGCUGGUCUGAGAGGACGAUCAGCCACACUGGGACUGAGACACGGCCCAGACUCCUACGGGAGGCAGCAGUGGGGAAUUUUGGACAAUGGGCGAAAGCCUGAUCCAGCAAUGGCCGCGUGUGUGAAGAAGGCCUUCGGGUUGUAAAGCACUUUUGUCCGGAAAGAAAUGGCUCUGGUUAAUACCUGGGGUCGAUGACGGUACCGGAAGAAUAAGGACCGGCUAACUACGUGCCAGCAGCCGCGGUAAUACGUAGGGUCCAAGCGUUAAUCGGAAUUACUGGGCGUAAAGCGUGCGCAGGCGGUUGUGCAAGACCGAUGUGAAAUCCCCGAGCUUAACUUGGGAAUUGCAUUGGUGACUGCACGGCUAGAGUGUGUCAGAGGGGGGUAGAAUUCCACGUGUAGCAGUGAAAUGCGUAGAGAUGUGGAGGAAUACCGAUGGCGAAGGCAGCCCCCUGGGAUAACACUGACGCUCAUGCACGAAAGCGUGGGGAGCAAACAGGAUUAGAUACCCUGGUAGUCCACGCCCUAAACGAUGUCAACUAGUUGUUGGGG
rnacentral:rRNA from 1 species